rnacentral:rRNA from 1 species
UACGAAGGGGGCUAGCGUUGCUCGGAAUCACUGGCGUAAAGGGCGCGUAGGCGGUCAGCACAAGUCAGUUGUGAAAUCUCCGGGCUUAACUCGGAAAGGUCAACUGAUACUGUGCGACUAGAGUGCAGAAGGGGCAACUGGAAUUCUCGGUGUAGCGGUGAAAUGCGUAGAUAUCGAGAGGAACACCUGCGGCGAAGGCGGGUUGCUGGGCUGACACUGACGCUGAUGCGCGAAAGCCAGGGGAGCGAACGGG